CCGACAGCUGUAUCGAGUAAAUGAGAGAUUGCAGAAGAUACCACUCCGAAACGUCGUGAUUUUUAUUUUAUUUUACUUUAAUUAAUUUUAAUGUUUUACCUACAUGGUGACUUUACCGAAAAAACCUAAGAAUAUGAAUCCUUGCAGUCACGAAAGCUUCAAAUCUAGAAUUAGGGUUUUGAUUCCUUACCAGUACCCGUACCCGGCCGCACCAGGGUCGCAAACGGGUACCCGUACCCAGCCGUACCCGUACCCUACCCGGUAGGGUACGGGUAUCGGGUACCUGAUUGCGACCUCUGGGAUGAAGCCACGUUGCAGGCGCGGGUGGGUUGAUUCUAGGAACUUGAAUUGUGAGAAGAGACAAGACGUUGGGAAAUGAGUGACAAACGGUGACUCACCAGUGACUCACGGCCUACCCGUACCCGGCCGCACCAGGGUCGCAAACGGGAACCCGUACCCGGCCGGGUACGGGUAGCCGGGUAUCGGGUAGGGUACGGGUAUCGGGUACCCGGUUGCGACCUCUGCAGUGUAGCCUCGAAAGGUUGUUGGGGCAAGUGCUGUUAGCGAGGGAGCAGCGCCUAUUGAAAGGGUGCGAAUUUUUUUUUUUAAAACACAACACCGGUCCUGGGCCUCCCCUAGGUCGGCUCAGCCUCAAAUGAGUUAUACGGUGCGGUGUGUAGUGAACAUCAACACUCGGGGAGAGACAAAGGCGGCCGGGCGUGGUGCUGGUAGCCACCCACCCCCUCGUGUGCCACAGCGCCGGUAGCCUUCACAGGUGCUACUCGCUAACAGCACUUGCCCGACAGUCUGUUGAGGCUACACGGGGAAUCUUUGUCUAUAUAUAGGUGCUGCUGCUACUCGCUAACAGCACUUGCCCGACAGUCUGUUGAGGCUACACGGGGGAUCUUUGUCUGUGUAUAGGUGCUGCUGCUACUCGCUACAAGCACUUGCCCCUACAGCCUGUUAGAGGCUACACGGGGGAUCUUUGUCUGUGUAUAGGUGCUGCUACUACUCGCUAACAGCACUUGCCCCUACAGCCUGUUAGAGGCUACACGGGGGAUCUUUGUCUGUGUAUAGGUGCUGCUACUACUCGCUAACAGCACUUGCCCGACAGUCUGUUGAGGCUACACGGGGGAUCUUUGUCUGUGUAUAGGUGCUGCUACUACUCGCUAACAGCACUUGCCCCGACAGUCUGUUGAGGCUACACGGGGGAUAUUUGUCUGUGUAUAGGUGCUGCUACUACUCGCUAACAGCACU